AAAAUGAGGGCAGGAAAUCCA
rnacentral:piRNA from 1 species